UGUUUUAAUCUUAUCCUUUAAUUUUGUGUUUCCUAAUACAGUAUAUUGUAAUGCUGCGCAUGUCAUUGUUCCCCCUGUUUUUCAAAUCACUGGGUGUUCGGUUCAUCUGUCAACUGGAUAACCCUUUGCCCUCGUCAGGCUGCGUGUUGUGAGAGCGUAGUGAAAGAAUGGUGCAUAUACCACAAAUGUCAUGCCCUCUCCAGGAGGAAUAACAAUGGAAGGUGGGCUUGGUUAAGGACAACAAGCGGGGGAAAUACCACGCUAUAAAUAUGUUAGAAGUGCUGCGUCUGAGUCUGUGAAAGGUCGGUGUUGACUGACUGCGGCGGUUCUGGAUUUAAGACGCUGUAAGGGGGUGUAGACUGUAAGCGAGAGGAAAGAAAUGGGUGCUGAUUAUUCUGGGUCAGUGGCCCAUACCUUACUCACACAUGCACCUCACACAGCUUAAGUUGAUAUACUGUAAAGGCUUUUUUUUCCCUCGCUCACAUACUCAUACACACUGCUCGCCAAACUCAAUACUGUUUCCUGAGUCCAGCAGAAUGUUUUCUAAUCUCUCCAGAGUUAUGGUACAUUACACAUGUUAUGGCUGCAGCAGACUAACCCUCCGCUGAACUACAAAGAAACUCGACAUAGGUGAGGCCGGAGUCAGAAAGGGGCCCGAGCUCCGUUAAGUGCUCCCACAUGUGCUGUAUUUAACUCGAUAUCAUAGCGUUGGUCUAGCAGAACGCAGCUCCGUUGCCAUAGUACUAGCUGGACAACAAGUGUACACAGUGGUGAAGAUUAAGACGUGCAGGCUGGAGCUGGCAGCGAGCAGGCGAAGGGCUCUGCUGUAACUAAUGAUGCUGUGUUACAGUGCCAGGGCAUUCCUCACUGCUUUUCCAUGAAACUACACAAGGAUUUCCAGAGGAAUUGAAAGUGACGGAUAGAAAGAGGGAAGAUGGGGAAGGCAUGGAAAGAGUAUAUAGUUCUACAGUAUGUCUUAUGGAUACAGCUGGCAGCUGGUCAGAACAUCUGGAGUUAGGGGCCUCAUUAGAUGAAAGAUGAGUGCUGGAUGAGUUUGAGUGUAUCUAUAAAGUUAAAAUAAAU